rnacentral:rRNA from 1 species
AGGAAUACGUCGGAAUCUGCCCAGUCGUGGGGGAUAACUAGCCGAAAGGUUAGCUAAUACCGCAUACGACCGAGAGGUGAAAGCGGGGGACCGCAAGGCCUCGCGCGAUUGGAUGAGCCGACGUCGGAUUAGCUAGUUGGUAGGGUAAAGGCCUACCAAGGCGACGAUCCGUAGCUGGUCUGAGAGGAUGAUCAGCCACACUGGAACUGAGACACGGUCCAGACUCCUACGGGAGGCAGCAGUGGGGAAUAUUGGACAAUGGGCGCAAGCCUGAUCCAGCAAUGCCGCGUGUGUGAAGAAGGCCUUCGGGUUGUAAAGCACUUUUAUCAGGAACGAAAAGCGUGGGGUUAAUAACUCUACGUGCUGACGGUACCUGAGGAAUAAGCACCGGCUAACUUCGUGCCAGCAGCCGCGGUAAU